rnacentral:rRNA from 1 species
GGGCUACACACGGUACUACAAUGGCAACAACAAAGAGCAGCAAGUCCGCGAGGCCAAGCGAAUCUCUAAAUGUUGUCCCAGUUCGGAUUGCAGGCUGAAACUCGCCUGCAUGAAGUCGGAAUUGCUAGUAAUGGCAGGUCAGCAUACUGCCGUGAAUACGUUCCCGGGCCUU